CAGUCACCGCGGUAAUACGAAGGGGGCUAGCGUUGCUCGGAAUGACUGGGCGUAAAGGGCGCGUAGGCGGAUUGUUUAGUUAGGCGUGAAAUUCCUGGGCUUAACCUGGGGACUGCGCUUAAUACAGGCAGUCUAGAGUGAGGAAGAGGGUUGUGGAAUUCCCAGUGUAGGGGUGAAAUUCGUAGAUAUUGGGAAGAACACCGGUGGCGAAGGCGGCAACCUGGUCCUUGACUGACGCUGAGGCGCGAAAGCGUGGGGAGCAAACAGGAUUAGAUACCCCUGUAGUCCCUGUCUCUUAUAC
rnacentral:rRNA from 1 species